rnacentral:rRNA from 1 species
GACGAACGCUGGCGGCGUGCUUAACACAUGCAAGUCGAACGGAAAGGCCCUGCUUUUGUGGGGUGCUCGAGUGGCGAACGGGUGAGUAACACGUGAGUAACCUGCCUUUGACUUUGGGAUAACUUCAGGAAACUGGGGCUAAUACCGGAUAGGAGCUCCUGCUGCAUGGUGGGGGUUGGAAAGUUUCGGCGGUUGGGGAUGGACUCGCGGCUUAUCAGCUUGUUGGUGGGGUAGUGGCUUACCAAGGCUUUGACGGGUAGCCGGCCUGAGAGGGUGACCGGCCACCUUGGGACUGGGAUACGGCCCAGACUCCUAAGGGAGGCAGCAGUGGGGAAUAUUGCACAAUGGGCGGAAGCCUGAUGCAGCAACGCCGCGUGCGGGAUGAAGGCCUUCGGGGUGUAAACCGCUUUCGCCUGGGACGAAGCGUGAGUGACGGUAAUGGGGAAAGAAGCAACGGCUAACUACGUG